AUGAACGCUAGCUACAGGCUUAACACAUGCAAGUCGAGGGGCAGCAUGAACUUAGCUUGCUAAGUUUGAUGGCGACCGGCGCACGGGUGAGUAACACGUAUCCAACCUGCCGAUGACUCGGGGAUAGCCUUUCGAAAGAAAGAUUAAUACCCGAUGGCAUAGUUCUUCCGCAUGGUAGAACUAUUAAAGAAUUUCGGUCAUCGAUGGGGAUGCGUUCCAUUAGGUUGUUGGCGGGGUAACGGCCCACCAAGCCUUCGAUGGAUAGGGGUUCUGAGAGGAAGGUCCCCCACAUUGGAACUGAGACACGGUCCAAACUCCUACGGGAGGCAGCAGUGAGGAAUAUUGGUCAAUGGACGAGAGUCUGAACCAGCCAAGUAGCGUGAAGGAUGACUGCCCUAUGGGUUGUAAACUUCUUUUAUACGGGAAUAAAGUGAGGCACGUGUGCCUUUUUGUAUGUACCGUAUGAAUAAGGAUCGGCUAACUCCGUGCCAGCAGCCGCGGUAAUACGGAGGAUCCGAGCGUUAUCCGGAUUUAUUGGGUUUAAAGGGAGCGUAGGCGGACGCUUAAGUCAGUUGUGAAAGUUUGCGGCUCAACCGUAAAAUUGCAGUUGAUACUGGGUGUCUUGAGUACAGUAGAGGCAGGCGGAAUUCGUGGUGUAGCGGUGAAAUGCUUAGAUAUCACGAAGAACUCCGAUUGCGAAGGCAGCCUGCUGGACUGUAACUGACGCUGAUGCUCGAAAGUGUGGGUAUCAAACAGGAUUAGAUACCCUGGUAGUCCACACAGUAAACGAUGAAUACUCGCUGUUUGCGAUAUACAGUAAGCGGCCAAGCGAAAGCGUUAAGUAUUCCACCUGGGGAGUACGCCGGCAACGGUGAAACUCAAAGGAAUUGACGGGGGCCCGCACAAGCGGUGGAGUAUGUGGUUUAAUUCGACGCAACGCGAAGAACCUUACCAGGUCUUGACAUUGAUCGCGAUCUGCAGAAAUGCGGAGUUCUUCUUCGGAAGACGAGAAAACAGGUGGUGCACGGCUGUCGUCAGCUCGUGUCGUGAGAUGUUGGGUUAAGUCCCGCAACGAGCGCAACCCUUAUUGCCAGUUACUACGCAAGAGGACUCUGGCGAGACUGCCGUUGACAAAACGGAGGAAGGUGGGGAUGACGUCAAAUCAGCACGGCCCUUACGUCCGGGGCUACACACGUGUUACAAUGGGGGGUACAGAAGGCAGCUACACGGCGACGUGAUGCUAAUCCCUAAAGCCUCUCUCAGUUCGGAUUGGAGUCUGCAACCCGACUCCAUGAAGCUGGAUUCGCUAGUAAUCGCGCAUCAGCCACGGCGCGGUGAAUACGUUCCCGGGCCUUGUACACACCGCCCGUCAAGCCAUGAAAGCCGGGGGUACCUGAAGUGCGUAACCGCAAGGAGCGCCCUAGGGUAAAACUGGUGAUUGGGGCU
rnacentral:rRNA from 1 species